CCUACGGGUGGCAGCAGUGAGGAAUAUUGGUCAAUGGACGCAAGUCUGAACCAGCCAAGUAGCGUGCAGGAUGACGGCCCUCCGGGUUGUAAACUGCUUUUAGUUGGGAAUAAAAGGGGGCUCGUGAGCCCCGUAUUGUAUGUACCAUCAGAAAAAGGACCGGCUAAUUCCGUGCCAGCAGCCGCGGUAAUACGGAAGGUCCGGGCGUUAGCCGGGUUUAUUGGGUUUAAAGGGAGCGUGGGGCGGCUUUUAAGUAAGCUGGGAAAGUCGGGGGGUCAACAGUGGAAUUGCCGUUGAAACUGGAGGCCUUGAGUGCACACAGGGAUGCAGGAAGUCAUGGUGUAGCGGUGAAAUGCUUAGAUAUCAUGAAGAACUCCGAGCGCGAAGGCAAGUGUCCGGGGUGCAACUGACGCUGAGGCUCGAAAGUGCGGGUAUCAAACAGGAUUAGAUACCCCAGUAGUC
rnacentral:rRNA from 1 species